rnacentral:rRNA from 1 species
CCAAUAGCGUAUAUUAAAGUUGUUGCAGUUAAAAAGCUCGUAGUUGAAUUUCGAGAUCAAAUUGUUGGUCGUGCCUUGGUACGUACUGGCAAUAUUGAUUUCUCCCUUCUGACGAACCAAGAUGUCAUUAAUUUGGUGUCUUGGGGAAUCAGGACUGUUACUUUGAAAAAAUGAGAGUGUUUAAAGCAGGCUCGCGCUUGAAUACAUUAGCAUGGAAUAAUGAAAUAGGAAGUUUGAUUCUAUUUUGUUGGUUUCUAGGAUCGACGUAAUGAUUAAUAGGGAUAGUUGGGGGCAUUAGUAUUCAAUUGUCAGAGGUGAAAUUCUUGGAUUUAUUGAAGACUAACUACUGCGAAAGCAUUUGCCAAGGAUGUUUUCAUUAAUCAAGAACGAAAGUUAGGGGAUCGAAGACGAUCAGAUACCGUCGUAGUCUUAACCAUAAACUAUGCCGACUAGGGAUCGGAUGAUGUUAAUUUUUUAAUGACUCAUUCGGCGCCUUACG